rnacentral:rRNA from 1 species
GGCUCAAUUCGAUGCAACGCGAGAACCUUACCUGGCCUUGACAUGCAGGAGACACGGUGCUGAAAGGCACCCUUCCUUCGGGACUGCUGGCACAGGUGCUGCAUGGCUGUCGUCAGCUCGUGUCGUGAGAUGUUGCGUUAAGUCGCGCAACGAGCGCCAACCCCUGUCCUUAGUUGCCAUCAUUAAGUUGGGCACUCGUAGGGAGACAAACCCUCUUUGAGGGUGGGAAGGUGGGGAUGACGUCAAGUCAGGAUGGCCCUUACGGCCAGGGCUGCACACGUACUACAAUGCCCGGUACAGAGGGAAGCAAUACCGCGAGGUGGAGCAAAUCCUCAAAACCGGGCCCAGUUCAGAUUGUAGUCUGCAACUCGACUACAUGAAGUUGGAAUCGCUAGUAAUCGCGUAUCAGAACGACGCGGUGAAUACGUUCCCGGGCCUU